UACGGAGGGUGCGAGCGUUAAUCGGAAUUACUGGGCGUAAAGCGAGUGUAGGCGGUUGCAUAAGUCGGAUGUGAAAGCCCCGGGCUUAACCUGGGAAUGGCAUUCGAUACUGUGCGGCUAGAGUCUGAUAGAGGGAAGUGGAAUUCCAGGUGUAGCGGUGAAAUGCGUAGAUAUCUGGAAGAACACCAGUGGCGAAGGCGGCUUCCUGGAUCAAGACUGACGCUGAGGCUCGAAAGCGUGGGGAGCAAAC
rnacentral:rRNA from 1 species